AGUGAACGCUGGCGGUAGGCCUAACACAUGCAAGUCGAACGGCAGCACAGUAAGAGCUUGCUCUUACGGGUGGCGAGUGGCGGACGGGUGAGGAAUACAUCGGAAUCUACUUUUUCGUGGGGGAUAACGUAGGGAAACUUACGCUAAUACCGCAUACGCCCUACGGGUGAAAGCAGGGGAUCUUCGGACCUUGCGCGAUUGAAUGAGCCGAUGUCGGAUUAGCUAGUUGGCGGGGUAAAGGCCCACCAAGGCGCCGAUCCGUAGCUGGUCUGAGAGGAUGAUCAGCCACACUGGAACUGAGACACGGUCCAGACUCCUACGGGAGGGAGCAGUGGGGAAUAUUGGACAAUGGGCGCAAGCCUGAUCCAGCCAUACCGCGUGGGUGAAGAAGGCGUUCGGGUUGUAAAGACCUUUUGUUGGGAAAGAAAAGCAGCAGGUUAAUACCCCGCUGUUCUGACGGUAACCAAAGAAUAAGCACCGGCUAACUUCGUG
rnacentral:rRNA from 1 species